UAAGUUCUUUUUGUCCGUUUUUAUGAUCCCCGACUUUGCGUAUUAGCUCUAAGUUCUUUCGGUCCGUUUUUAUGAUCCCCGACUUUGCGUAUUAGCUCUAAGUUCUUUCGGUUUGUUUUUAUGAUCCCUGACUUUGCAUAUUAGCUCUAAGUUCUUUCGGACUGUUUCUAUGAUCCCCGACUUUGCGUAUUAGCUCUAAGUUCUUUCGGUCUGUUUUUAUGAUUCCCGACUUUGCGUAUUAGGUCUAAGUUCUUUCGGUCCGUUUUUAUGAUCCUUAACUUUGCUUAUUAGCUCUAAGUUUUUUUGGUCCGUUUUUAUGAUCCCCAAAUUUGCGUAUUAGCUCUAAGUUCUUUCGGUCCGUUUUUAUGAUCCCCGACUUUGCGUAUUAGCUUUAAGUUCUUUCGGUCCAUUUUUAUGAUCCCCGACUUUGCGAAUUAGCUCUAAGUUCUUUCGGUCCGUUUUUAUGAUCCCCGAAUUUGCGUAUUAGCUCUAAGUUCUUUCGGUCCGUUUUUAUGAUCCCCGACUUUGCGUAUUAGCUCUAAGUUCUAUUGGUCCUUUUUAUGAUCCCCGACUUUACGUAUUAGCUCUAAGUUCUUUCGGUCCGUUUUUAUGAUCCCCGACUUUGCGUAACUCUACGUUCUUUCGGUCCAUUUUUAUGAUCCCCGACUUUGCGUAUUAGCUCUAAGUUCUUUCGGUUAUUUUUAUAAUCUCUAAAUUUUCUAAUUAGCUUUAAGUUUUUUUGGUCCGUUUUUAUGAUCCCCGACUUUGCGUAUUAUCUCUAAGUUCUUUCGGUCCGUUUUUAUGAUCUCCGACUUUGCGUAUUAGCUCUAAGUUCU
rnacentral:lncRNA from 1 species